rnacentral:rRNA from 1 species
UACGGAGGGUGCAAGCGUUAUCCGGAUUCACUGGGUUUAAAGGGUGCGUAGGCGGAUUGGUAAGUCCGUGGUGAAAUCCCCGAGCUUAACUUGGGAACUGUCGUGGAUACUAUCAGUCUUGAAUAUCGUGGAGGUAAGCGGAAUAUGUCAUGUAGCGGUGAAAUGCUUAGAUAUGACAUAGAACACCAAUUGCGUAGGCAGCUUACUACUCGAUCAUUGACGCUGAGGCACGAAAGCGUGGGGAGCAAACAGG